AUAUAUUUUUAGUGAAAGAUAUUGUAGUGUAUAAAUUAUAAUGUUCAUAGAAAAGUAUAUAGUGUUAUUUAUGAUACAAUAGUUA
rnacentral:sRNA from 1 species